rnacentral:piRNA from 1 species
UCUGGUGAUAAACUUGAUGGUCAUUGUUA